rnacentral:tRNA from 1 species
GAGAAAGAACCGCAUGAACUGCUAACUCUGCAUCCCAUAUAUGAAAAUAUGGCUUCCUCA